GCAGACUCACUCUGUUUAGGGUUGCAAUAUCCGACCUUAAACUUUUUCUGUCUGCUACAGUAACAUGCAGAAUGUUACAAAUAC